UUUUAAGAGACGAAUCUAAGAAGCCUGAGAAUUCAGUUUCAUCUCUUUGCGAUGAAGGAGAAACGAUGAGAUCUCAUUAGUGAUUUCUCUUUCCUAUGGGAAAGUUGGGGUUUGUAACGUUGUGCGUGAAUCUUUCGAAAACUCAUUCUGAGAGAUUAAAGUGAUCAUAUAAAAUUCUUGAGUUAAUAAUUAUUCAGAUUUUACAGCCAGUGUAGCCUAUUACUUAAGGAAAACGAUUAGGCUAACCGGGUUUUUCUAUUGUGGUAGCUGUAAGUUUCCAUCAAAACACAUUUACAUCGCGUUGAAUCGAUAUUUAAACAUGUCUACAUUAGAAAGAAAGGCAAAGUGUAACGUUACGGGGUAAAACUUCGUUAAAUUACACAUAUUUACUGUAACACCCGCACAACAGACUGCAAGAAAGUAUUAAGCAGAGUAAAACAGAUAAGAAAAGUAGCUCACCUACCUGUCAACUGUCAGAAAAAGUGGUUAACUCUCAUUUAAAAGGACAAGUUUCUGAGUGAAAUGAGCGUCGAGUGCGCGCGCUGUUACUCUCAUUGAAGCGACGCAUACAAACACCGAAUGAGGAACACAAGACUGGACGCUGCUGUUUUCACUGCUCUUUCAACUUCCUGAAAGUUCUGCUCCACUUCCACCUUCCCACCUGGGCCAGCGAGAGACGCGAUCUACACAGAGAGAAAGACAGAAAGAGGAAGAAGAAAAGAGCCAGAGCAGGUGUGAGAUACCAUCACGGGCAAUGUGGUCAUUAGUUGACAAUAUCAACAUGUCAGUAUAAUAUAAACAUAGUAUCUUGGUUUAGGGAAAAUUGUCGUUGAAUUCAAUCACAAGAAAGUCACGCUAAUACAUAACAUUCAACGACACAGACAGUAUGGGCAAAAGGUAAUGAUGGAUUUACUUUAGAUAUUAGUGAAGAAAUUUGCUACAGUCAAACAGAAUACUCCAGGAAGUUAGUGUGGUUUCAAACCACACUGCACCAGUCAACAAUACCUUUCAGAGAAGUCAGAAACCAUUAAACAGCUGCAAUUGACAGACAUCAGAUGCACUAAACUAAACCUAGAAGGAAUGACUAAAAAUAAAAAUAAAAGCCAC
rnacentral:lncRNA from 1 species